AUUUGCAUUAAAACAUUUAGUGUUACCUUUUCAAUGAUAUCAGGCUCACCCCAGAGUGUCAAAGUACAUCGGAGCUGUACCACUUUUAAUUUGGUUAUGACGUUUAGACCAAAAAACAUGGAAUUUCAGCCGUUUCUUAACUUA